rnacentral:rRNA from 1 species
UACGGGGGGAGCAAGCGUUGUUCGGAUUUACUGGGCGUAAAGGGCGCGUAGGCGGCGCGACAAGUCACUUGUGAAAUCUCUGGGCUCAACCCAGAACGGUCAAGUGAUACUGUCGUGCUAGAGUGCGGAAGGGGCAACUGGAAUUCUUGGUGUAGCGGUGAAAUGCGCAGAUAUCAGGAGGAACACCAGUGGCGAAGGCGGGUCUCUGGGCCGAAAUUGACGCUGAGGAGCGAAAGCGUGGGGAGCAAACAGG